CGGGGGGAGCAAGCGUUGUUCGGAUUUACUGGGCGUAAAGGGCGCGUAGGCGGCCACCGCAAGUCGACUGUGAAAUCUCCGGGCUUAACCCGGAAAGGUCAGCCGAUACUGCGGGGCUAGAGUGCAGAAGGGGCAACUGGAAUUCUCGGUGUAGCGGUGAAAUGCGUAGAUAUCGAGAGGAACACCUGCGGCGAAGGCGGGUUGCUGGGCUGACACUGACGCUGAUGCGCGAAAGCUAGGGGAGCGAACGGGAUUAGAUACCCCGGUAGUCCUAGCCUUAAACGAUGAAUGCUUGGUGUCUGGGGUUAUAUAGUCCCCGGGUGCCGUCGCUAACGCUUUAAGCAUUCCGCCUGGGGAGUACGGUCGCAAGACUG
rnacentral:rRNA from 1 species